GCAAGUCGAGCGCCCAGCAAUGGGAGCGGCAGACGGGUGAGUAACGCGUGGGGAUCUACCCAUUGGUACGGAAUAACCCAGGGAAACUUGGACUAAUACCGUAUGUGCCCUUCGGGGGAAAGAUUUAUCGCCAAUGGAUGAACCCGCGUCGGAUUAGCUAGUUGGUGGGGUAAAGGCUCACCAAGGCGACGAUCCGUAGCUGGUCUGAGAGGAUGAUCAGCCACACUGGGACUGAGACACGGCCCAGACUCCUACGGGAGGCAGCAGUGGGGAAUAUUGGACAAUGGGCGCAAGCCUGAUCCAGCCAUGCCGCGUGAGUGAUGAAGGCCUUAGGGUUGUAAAGCUCUUUCGCCGGUGAAGAUAAUGACGGUAACCGGAGAAGAAGCCCCGGCUAACUUCGUGCCAGCAGCCGCGGUAAUACGAAGGGGGCUAGCGUUGCUCGGAAUCACUGGGCGUAAAGCGCACGUAGGCGGAUCGUUAAGUCAGGGGUGAAAUCCUGGGGCUCAACCUCAGAACUGCCCUUGAUACUGGCGAUCUCGAGUUCGAGAGAGGUUGGUGGAACUCCGAGUGUAGAGGUGAAAUU
rnacentral:rRNA from 1 species